rnacentral:rRNA from 1 species
UACGAAGGGAGCUAGCGUUGUUCGGAAUCACUGGGCGUAAAGCGCACGUAGGCGGAUGUGUCAGUCAGGGGUGAAAUCCCGGAGCUCAACUUCGGAACUGCCUUUGAUACAGCACAUCUGGAGUCCGGAAGAGGUGGGUGGAAUUCCUAGUGUAGAGGUGAAAUUCGUAGAUAUUAGGAAGAACACCGGUGGCGAGGCGGCCCACUGGUCCGGUACUGACGCUGAGGUGCGAAAGCGUGGGGAGCAAACAGG